rnacentral:misc_RNA from 1 species
GAUAGACACAUUAAUUUCAAGAGUGCCAACAUUUACUUCAUGAACAUCUAAGACUGAUGUUUUAGGACACAGGAAAAUGGUUCUGCUGCUCUAGCAUUGCAAUGAUUUUCUUUUCCUAAUUCAUUCUUUCACUAGAAAGUUCAAACGAACUAAAUUAAAAUAAACUUAGACUUUCCAAGUGGAAUGCAAGAAAAAAGAAGACCUGAUACCUACAGAUGUCAGAUUACCCAUCAGGAUUUUGCGUGACUGUGGCCAUUAGUUGAAUGCAAAUUAUGUAAUUCUUCAAAAUAACCCAAACAAAAUAAGAAAGCGCGAAUCAACAAAAUUUGGGAACUCGCUUGUAUAAGCUUCACCAAGACCCGAUAGAUGGCACCAUUAAUCAAUACGAUCACCACAGAUAAUUUUCAAAAUUAGACUGGUGUAUCGUCCAAUCACAUGUCAACCAAACUCAAAUCCAAAAUUUGCAAAAUCUAAUAACAAUAUGCCUGUUCUACAACACAAAUCAAUCAAUUAAUACAAAAAUUCAUAGAAGAAAAUUUGAUUUUGAAAAAACGUGUAGGUAAAUAAUCUUGUCCAGUCUAAGCAAAGAACUGUGAAAAUAGAUAGUGAAAUCGCCAUGAACUUGUGGAAAUAAAUGAGGUACC